rnacentral:rRNA from 1 species
UACGAAGGGGGCUAGCGUUGUUCGGAAUUACUGGGCGUAAAGCGCGCGCAGGCGGCGGUGUUGGCCCGGCGUGAAAGCCCCCGGCUCAACCCGGGGAGAGUCGUCGGGGGACCGCACCGCUUGAGGGCGGUAGGGGCUGGUGGAAUGCCUGGUGUAGUGGUGAAAUGCGUUGAGAUCGGAAGGAACGCCCGUGGCGAAAGCGAGGUCCUGGACGCCUACUGACGCUGAGACGCGAAAGCCAGGGAGCGGAACGGG